rnacentral:rRNA from 1 species
CCAGACUCCUACGGGAGGCAGCAGUGGGGAAUAUUGCACAAUGGGCGAAAGCCUGACGCGGCAACGCCGCGUGAGCGAUGAAGGCCUUCGGGUCGUAAAGCUCUGUCCUCAAGGAAGAUAAUGACGGUACUUGAGGAGGAAGCACCGGCUAACUCCGUGCCAGCAGCCGCGGUAAUACGGAGGGUGCAAGCGUUGUCCGGAAUCACUGGGCGUAAAGAGUUCGUAGGCGGCAUGUAAAGUCAGGUGUUAAAGGCGCAGGCUCAACCUGUGUAUGGCACUUGAUACUUGCAAGCUGGAAUGCGGUAGAGGUAAAGGGAAUUCCUGGUGUAGCGGUGAAAUGCUUAGAUAUCAGGAGGAACAUCGGUGGCGUAAGCGCUCUACUGGGCCGUAAUUGACGCUGAGGAACGAAAGCCAGGGUAGCAAAUGGGAUUAGAUACCCCAGUACG